rnacentral:lncRNA from 1 species
UUUGGGUCUAGAGCAAGAGGUAGCAUUGUUCCGGUUUGAUAAUUGGAAAUGAGAGUAUGUGAGAAUUGAGGAUGGCGAACAGAUGGUUGAUGAAAUCGAUCGACAAGAUGGCUGGACAAGCAAACAGGCUAUGUUUCGUGCAGAGCUUGUUGACCUGAAAUCAGAUUCUAAGGUUGGAUAUGUGCCCUCAAAGUUAGCUUCACAGAUGGUAGAUGAUGAUUGGGCUUCAGAGAGGCAGAUAAUGUCCAUGUGUACGGGUGAAGUUACAGUAUUACCUGAGGGGGUUGAUGCAUAAGAGGGUUCUGAUGGUGUUGCAA